GAUAAUGCAAGUGUUUAACAGAUGCUUCACUAUUAAAAUAUUUCCCCCCCAAGUCUCAAAUAUUGAAGAAUCUCUAACCAGGGACACCAGUCCCUACGAAGACCUUGGGCGAUUUUGAAGUGCGGGCACCUCGAUUCCCCGAAUCUGUAGUGUGGCUGGUAUCGGUGUUCCCCUGGUUUAACUAGCCUGUUUGGCACAGAUCAUUCAUGGGGAAGUAUAACCGAAACCAGUCCUCUCCACCCCCUGGGGAUCUUCACUUUCCCAGUCUACAACUGCCUGUGACUCCAGAAAGACAAACUGCAGAUUGGCCAAGGUCCAGCCUAAAUGUUACCUCCUCCAGGGAGCCUUUCCAGAUACUGCUUCUCCUCUCUCCCCCAACUCCCUCCCACAAAUGAAGUUUUCUCUUCUGAAUUCCUUCCUGGUGCUGUCACUUAUAUUCUUUUGGGUAGAUCUCUGGGCAUGCAUAUGUCACCUCCUGUGACUGUGGGUUUCUUGACAACCUAAUCAAUGCAUUGAACAAGGGAGAUGUUUAGACAACCCAUAUAAAAUGAAUAAGAGAAAUAGGGUGAAUACCGUCUACCCCAAUUGCAAUCAGAUUAGUUUCCUUUAUUUUGAAAACGAUUAUUACUAGUAGAGGAGUUAGAUGUGGCCCACUAGGGAACAAAUCUUCAUCUCCAAGCCGUCCUCUGGCUCGAUCGGGCCUGCACUGGGUCUGCAUCAACUUGCGCUGGCUCAGAGGGAGGCUCAGCCGCAGCCUGGCCUUCCUGGUGUCCACUCCCAACAUCCUGAGCAGGGCCGACUCUAGGCACCCCACGAUUAGCUGAGUGAUCUAGGGCAAGGACCUAGGCGUCUCUAAGUCUUAGUUUCCCCAUCUGAACAAUGGGGAUAAUGACACGUACCUGGGGUGGGCAGGCUAGAGUAAAUGGGAAAAUCAAAGCGCCAGCCAGAGCGGGUCGCGCUGUUAGUAUUCCUGUAUUUUCUCCUCCUGCCUCUUUGGUUUCUUCCGUUCCGUUCUAGCUGCCUGAAGACCCAGCCCGACAGCGAUGCCUGUCAGCCCGCGUCGCCCACCAGGGCAGCUGCUCUCCCGACUCGCAUGGGGGGCACCACCCCGCCUCGGUGCCCUAGAGCUGAGCGCAGCCGCGGCUCCACGGGGAUCGCCAGGGCCUCAGCCCUCGCGGCCGGCGGCGCGGGAGUGUUGCGGGGCAGGGACCAGAGCGCGAUCAGAGCGGCCAACCCCCGAUUUAGGUCGCCAGCUUUCCAGUCACUGCGAUGGCCACUGGGGCGCCCCUUCCAUCCUGGUUAAAUUCUCAUUGUGAUCCCCAGCCCUCUUCUCGGUUCCCCACACCCAGGAGGCCGGUUCUCCGCCGCUCAGGCUGGGAGAGGUCACCGCUCCGGGCAGGGUGGACCCCCAGCUCCGUCUCGGAGGACCUUUCGCCGGAGGCGAGCAGGAAGGGGUUAACCAUGAGCCUCCCACCCUCACCUCCCAGACCCUGGUGCCGGGCGAAGGCCUCCGCUUCCCUCCUGAGGUCUCAUUAGGAAACCCUCACCGCUAUUUUCAACAUUUCCUCAAUCAAGUGUCUUUAAAUAGAGCUGCACAAACAGAUUGGCGGCAAAAGCGUAGAUCUUGUCACGAUUGAGACCAAUCCAGUAUUUCAGCCUUGUUUGCUUUGCAAUUACGGGUUGGCUUGUGGCUACGGUGCCACCGGGGCAAAUCUGCAGCCGCUCGCUUUCUCCUCUGCACUCCGGGCGGGUGGAGGAAGCGACCCGCGGAGUCACUGCAGGGAGGAGAAGGGGACGCGCGCGGGGGGAGGCGGCGGAGGGCGGAGGAGCCUCGCUUGCACCCCAGGGCCGCGGGCACGCAGAGCUGUGUUGAAGGACAUACUUUUCAGGUUCCUGACAGUCACUGAGCUAUACGCAAUAAUAAAGUGCGUGAUUCGCGUGUGGAAACCAGUGUCGUGUCCUUACCAGCUUCCUUUUCUGUCCACCUUCCCUCUCUCUUCUACCUCCGUUUCGCUUUUCUUCAGUGCAUGUUAGCGGUUUGCUGGAUUUCCCUUCUCCCUCGCUGUUCAACUGCUAGCAUGAUUUGUUACAUUUUCCACAGCUGUUUAUUCUUGUUUGACUUUUUGUACAAAGUCACUUUAAAUCUGCUGCAGAAAGAAUAAAGCUCCUAGCCCUUUGGAUGGACUCCUGCAGGCGUGUGGCUGUCCCUGGCCCACUUUUAAUUCUUUGGAGAUGGCUCUUCUGUGUAAAUCAGCUGUUGGGUGCGUUCGGUCACCUCGUAGGCCAGCCUAGUUUGUAUCAGCAGAACAGUAGUGGACUCAACUCAGGUCGUAAGCUUUAUAUUUCACAGACAAUUAAAUCUUGGCUGCUGUUGAACAAAACUGUAGUAUUUACUUUAUUCUAUACCGAGGAGCACUUUUAAAGU
rnacentral:antisense_RNA from 1 species